CAUCCAGCGAGAUCUGAUUGUUGAAAAGUGUGUAGCACCUCCCACUUCACUCGCUUCUUCAUUCCCCAGCCAUGUAAGAUGUGCCUGCUUCCCUUUUGCCUACCACCAUGAUUGUAAGUUUCCUGAGGCCUCCCCAGCCAUGGCUCCUGUAAAGACUGCAGAACUUUGUCUCCCUUUAUCCAUGAGGGACAUCUUCCAAGGCCCCCAGUGGAUGUCUGAAACCGCAGGCUUCCGAGGUGAUCGGGCAGCAUCAGUCUUCAGCUGCUAAGCCGAGAAGAUCUGGGAAGGAGUCAGUCAGAGAGCCGUGGGCCAGAGUUCCAGGGGCUCUGGGAGUGGCUGCCAGGCAGAAUCAUAAUUCUCUACCAGCUGCUUAUUUUAGAGUCAUCUGGGUCUGGGGAUGGUUCUGGACAAAAAUACAAAUUUGGAGACCCAUCACUGGUUUGUAGGAUCAGUGAGAUCAUGAAAACUAGAAGUAAUUUCAACGCGACUUUUUUUAUUUACUUUGGAAAUGGUUCAGUUGGACACAUGAGUGAUAAGAGGUGGACAUUUCAAGUUCAAUUGUGUUUGAUGACUCAUUAGGUUAAAGAAGCUGUCAGGUGGUAAAGUCACCCCAGAGAAAUGAAGGGUAUUCUCCAGAAAGUGUGGAAACCCUGCCACUGCAGGCUAAUCAGGUGUGUUGACACAUCAGUGAGGAGCUGGCUCACAACACCUGGAGAAGCAAGCCAUGGAGGUGGAGCAGAAUCAAAUGAGCCUCCCACAAGGCACAAAGAUUCUCAGCAAGUCAGGACAUGUUACACAUGGAAAUUCCUACUCACCCAAGACAGAUGCCUAUUGCUGUGUCUCUCUCUUCCCAUACUUUCACAUUGUCUUGAAAUAUAAGCAAGAUGUGAGAGCCCACAGUGCUAUGGUAGGAGCCAUCUGCAGUGCCAUGGUCACCUGUGUCAGUGGUGGAACAAAGAGGGAAAGAUGGCUUCCACAUCCAGUGGUGACUUGAGUGGAAAAAGAAAAAAAAGAGCUCCUAUGCCUGCUGGCAGAUGCUACUGAUGGGACUAUGAGCAAUUAGAGGAGGUUUCACAUUUACUCACAACUUGGAAUUUCUAAGCAAAUUUUCACAACGCAAGGCAGCCGUACAUUCUGUGUACCUAACACUUUGUGCUUUCUCAUCUUGCUUGAUCAUUCAGGAAGCAGGUGGUCCAUUCUUUUGGCUCUAAAUAUUUUGCAUGUGAAGGGCAUAGGUAGGUGCACCACUUUGGAGAUUGUUAGCUGUGUCUGGUUCCGGGUGUCAGUUAGGCACAAAUUAGUAAGGCUGGAGGGGUUAAGAGUUGCAGAGAAGUCUGACGUGAUGGAUAAGUUAAGGAAGAGUCCUAAGAGGCCAGAAGUGAUAGAGCCCUAAAAACCAGAAUGGGCUGGUCAUGGCAUGGCAGAAGCUGACUUAUUUUUUAUCUCAUACAGAAUGGGUGUCUACUAGUUCAGUCUGUGCUUAUUUAUUAACAAAAUUAUUCACAGCAAUUCUCAGAGUCCUUCAUCAAAUUCAGUCUGCUCUUGAAUAUUCAGAAGAGAUUCUUUCUGAAUAAUGCACAAUAACUUUCUUUUUUUUUCCGAGAGGCUCCAAUGUGUCCACGCUUCUUUUUUCCCCCUUAUUUUAGUUUAAUAUAGGGUUUUCUCAGAUUUUUUUCCUAUAAUAGUUUACUAUUUUCCUAAAUCUUUCCAUUUUGUCAUCAAAUUCAACUAUUUCUCACCUCAUUCAUCUUACAGGUUGUUAAUAAAUAUACCAGAGAAUAAUGGUCCUGCUAUUGAUGGAUCCCAAGGGAGAAUUCCUAUUAAUCACUUCAAUCUUAGGGUGAGCCAUUUAUUCUUACUCUUUGUAUUUUCCCCAUUAAUGAAUGAUUCCCCUUUCCAUGUGCAGUUUUAAGUAUUCACACUGUAGUAGUUUAUUUUUAUUAUCUUCUUAGCAUUUCUCAUGAAACAGAGAUCCCAUAAUUGAUGUGUAUCUUGGACUCUGAAACUCUGCCUGUGUAUAAUGAAGGGAUUGGCCUGGAUGACCUCCUUCCUCUAUCAUUCUAGAAUCUCUCUUUGUCCCAACUUGAAACCAAACAGGUGCCAGGGUCUGUCGCAGAGAAGAAUAAUUAGCACAUCCAUUAACAUGGGCCCUGUUAACACAUCCAGUGUUGACUCUAAUUACUGGUAGAUUUUAACUGAGCUCUGCUGUCUAUAAGUGACUGUUAGCAAAUGAUAGUAUAUUUGAUUUGACAUACAUCAUACGUACUGAAUAGUAAGCUUCAGUCAACUUUUACACAAGUACUCGUAAAGAAGCUGAAGAUUUUAAGCUAACAGAUUAAAAGUGGGAACAAAUGAUAUAAGUGCAAGAGCAUGAAAUUAAAGCAAUUAUUGUUGUUUUUGAUGCUUCAAAAUGUGGGAUUUAUAUGUAGUCCUUUACUUUUUAUAGUGUUUAUGAAAGUGGUUCAAUGUGUCUUCUUUUAAGAGAUCAUAUAUCCUAGUAUUAGUAACAUGAA
ensembl:lncRNA LINC01170 long intergenic non-protein coding RNA 1170